rnacentral:rRNA from 1 species
GACGAACGCUGGCGGCGUGCUUAACACAUGCAAGUCGAACGAAGUGGCGAACGGGUGAGUAACUCGUAAUCAACCUCCCCUUCAGAGGGGGACAACAGUUGGAAACGACUGCUAAUACCGCAUACUGCAGGAGGGGAUUGCGUCUGAUUAGCUAGUUGGGGGGGUAACGGCCCACCAAAGCGAUGAUCAGACGCCGGUCUGAUAGGAUGAAAGGCAACGGUGGGACUGGGACACAGCCCAGUGUGCUAACGGAAGCAGCAGUUGGGAAUCUUCCCAAAUGGACGGAAGUCUGACGGAGCAACGCCGGGUGGGUGAUGGCGGCCUUCGGGUUGUGAAGCUCUGUUAAUCGGGACGCGGUACCGGAAUAGAAAGCAACGGCGAACUACGUGCCAGCAGCCGCGGUAAUAC